CCUAACCCCCAAAACACUCAACCGCCAUUCAUAUUUCAUUACUCUCUCACUCCUCUCCGAUCUCUGAGUCCUCGAUAAACCCUAACAAAAACCCUAGGGUUCAAUCUCCUUCAGCCUCUUCUUCACCACAACCCAAAUUUCCACAGAAACAGUAGGAGAAAAUGGGCAGCCUUCUUCUAAUUAGGAGAUCGUCUCAAUCUUCGUUGAGGACGCUCGCUCUCACCGCCGCCAGCCGUUUCAUUUCCGUCCAUCCGCAACCAGCUACGUCGAAUGCGGUUUCUGACGCACGGAUUCACACCUCUACAGCUGGUUCGAGGCUUCCUGCAGCUUAUCCAUGCGUAGGAUUAGCGAGGGGUUUCCAUUCGGGGCAGCCACUGCGGGCAGGCUUUGCUAUGGCGGAUUAUUCUGAUACGGAGAAGGCCUCGAGCCGGCCCGCGGAUGAAGGGCUCGAGAUCGCCAAGCUUGAUAUUUCUCCGCAGAUUGUUACGGCUUUGAAGAAGAGGGGAAUCGAGAAGCUUUUCCCGAUUCAGAGGGCAGUGUUGGAGCCUGCCAUGAUGGGUCGUGAUAUGAUAGGGCGGGCACGAACUGGAACAGGGAAGACCCUGGCUUUUGGGAUUCCCAUCAUGGAUAAAAUUAUUAAGUUCAACAAGAAGCAUGGACAGGGCAGGAAUCCGUUGGCCCUUGUCAUGGCUCCAACAAGAGAACUUGCUCGACAGGUUGACAAAGAAUUUGCAGAGUCUGCCACAGAGUUAGACACGCUUUGUGUCUAUGGGGGUGUUCCGAUAUCCCGCCAGAUGAGCACUCUUGACCGUGGUGUUGAUGUGGUGGUUGGAACUCCUGGCCGCAUCAUUGAUUUGAUUAAGCGUGGUUCCUUGAACCUGUCAGAAGUGCAGUUUGUUGUCCUUGAUGAAGCAGAUCAGAUGCUUAAUGUCGGAUUUGCAGAAGAUGUUGAGAUGAUCCUGAGCUUCAUAAAGCAGAAACAUCAGACAAUGAUGUUUUCAGCUACAAUGCCAAAUUGGAUACUGAAACUUACCCAGAAGUUUCUGAGUAGCCCUGUUACUGUUGACCUUGUUGGAGAAUCUGAUCAGAAAUUAGCUGAUGGGAUUUCCUUAUAUUCCAUUGUUUCAGAUAUGCGUCAGAAACCAGCUAUACUCGGACCUCUGAUAACUGAACAUGCAAAAGGUGGUAAAUGUAUUGUGUUUACUCAGACGAAGCGUGAUGCUGAUAGAUUGGCAUAUGCUAUGCAAAGAAACUUUAAAUGUGAACCUUUGCAUGGGGAUAUAACACAGAACCAGAGGGAAAGAACUCUGUCUGCUUUCCGUGAGGGAAGGAUCAAUAUUUUAGUGGCCACCGAUGUAGCUGCCCGUGGACUUGAUGUGCCAAAUGUGGAUCUUGUGGUGCAUUAUGAACUUCCAAACUCUUCUGAGAUUUUUGUUCAUCGGUCUGGACGAACUGGCCGUGCUGGGAAGAAAGGUAGUGCGAUUCUUAUUUAUUCAGACCACCAGUAUAGGGAAAUUAAAUCUAUUGAGCGUGAAGUUGGAUGUCGUUUUAUAGAGCUCCCGAAGAUAGCUGUUGGAGAUGAUGCUUUGAGCAUGUAUAGUGGCAUGGAUCAGGGUGGUCGUUCUGGUUUUGGUGGAGGCAGCAGGGGAAAUGGUCGAUUUGGGGAUUCAGGUUUUGGGCGUUCUGGUGGUUUUGGAGAUUCAAGGGGUGGUCGAUCUGGUGGAUAUUUUUCUGGUUCUUCUGGUGGAUAUGGAGGUUCCGGAGGCGGUCGUUUUGGUUCGGGUGGUGGAUUUGGGGGACAGGGUUCAGGAAAAUCCAGUGGUUUUGGUUCUAGCCGGUCAGGUGGUUUUGGGGACUUUGGGGGCUCUGGCCGCUCGGAUGGUUUUGGUGGCCUCGGUGGUCCAGUUAGAAACAAUGAUUCACGUCGCUCGGGUGGUUUUAGUUUUGGUUCUGAUCGAUCCAGUGGAUCUGGAAAGAGUUCUGGACGCUUUGGUGGUGGUUAUAGCAAUGAUGAUGAAUUCUAAAGUUAUCAAAGUUCGCAUGCAGCAAUCAUUUCUUGUAUCAAAUCUACACAAGAUCAGCAUUAUCGUAGCAGCAAAGGCAAGGAUGGCAAAAGAAUACCUUCCGGGAGCCAAGCUCGUGAGUCGUCUAGGAUCCUUAACCUUUUGGAGGAAGAUGCAGGGAUAUUAACUUUGUCGUGCUGCUGCUGCUUAAGACUUGUAAUAAGCCAUAUGUUACACACUACUGUCUUGUUAGUUGCUAGUGUUAAUAGGUUCUGAUGUCGAAGCUUUGGAUUGACAAUUUUUGCUAUGGAGGAAUGGCUUAUUGAAUAUCUUCCGACAUAAAUUACUCAGAAUUAUCUGUAUAAAUCGGCAAUAGGAUUCAUGCUGCCUCAACUGACAAACAUUUCUGCAAUUAUAUAUUUAAUAGGAGUAUUUACUGUCA